UUAAGCGACUAAGCGUACACGGUGGAUGCCCUGGCAGUCAGAGGCGAUGAAGGACGUGCUAAUCUGCGAUAAGCGUCGGUAAGGUGAUAUGAACCGUUAUAACCGGCGAUUUCCGAAUGGGGAAACCCAGUGUGAUUCGUCACACUAUCAUUAACUGAAUCCAUAGGUUAAUGAGGCGAACCGGGGGAACUGAAACAUCUAAGUACCCCGAGGAAAAGAAAUCAACCGAGAUUCCCCCAGUAGCGGCGAGCGAACGGGGAGGAGCCCAGAGCCUGAAUCAGUGUGUGUGUUAGUGGAAGCGUCUGGAAAGGCGCGCGAUACAGGGUGACAGCCCCGUACACAAAAAUGCACAUAUUGUGAGCUCGAUGAGUAGGGCGGGACACGUGGUAUCCUGUCUGAAUAUGGGGGGACCAUCCUCCAAGGCUAAAUACUCCUGACUGACCGAUAGUGAACCAGUACCGUGAGGGAAAGGCGAAAAGAACCCCGGCGAGGGGAGUGAAAAAGAACCUGAAACCGUGUACGUACAAGCAGUGGGAGCCUCUUUUAUGGGGUGACUGCGUACCUUUUGUAUAAUGGGUCAGCGACUUAUAUUCUGUAGCAAGGUUAACCGAAUAGGGGAGCCGAAGGGAAACCGAGUCUUAACUGGGCGUUAAGUUGCAGGGUAUAGACCCGAAACCCGGUGAUCUAGCCAUGGGCAGGUUGAAGGUUGGGUAACACUAACUGGAGGACCGAACCGACUAAUGUUGAAAAAUUAGCGGAUGACUUGUGGCUGGGGGUGAAAGGCCAAUCAAACCGGGAGAUAGCUGGUUCUCCCCGAAAGCUAUUUAGGUAGCGCCUCGUGAAUUCAUCUCCGGGGGUAGAGCACUGUUUCGGCAAGGGGGUCAUCCCGACUUACCAACCCGAUGCAAACUGCGAAUACCGGAGAAUGUUAUCACGGGAGACACACGGCGGGUGCUAACGUCCGUCGUGAAGAGGGAAACAACCCAGACCGCCAGCUAAGGUCCCAAAGUCAUGGUUAAGUGGGAAACGAUGUGGGAAGGCCCAGACAGCCAGGAUGUUGGCUUAGAAGCAGCCAUCAUUUAAAGAAAGCGUAAUAGCUCACUGGUCGAGUCGGCCUGCGCGGAAGAUGUAACGGGGCUAAACCAUGCACCGAAGCUGCGGCAGCGACGCUUAUGCGUUGUUGGGUAGGGGAGCGUUCUGUAAGCCUGUGAAGGUGUGCUGUGAGGCAUGCUGGAGGUAUCAGAAGUGCGAAUGCUGACAUAAGUAACGAUAAAGCGGGUGAAAAGCCCGCUCGCCGGAAGACCAAGGGUUCCUGUCCAACGUUAAUCGGGGCAGGGUGAGUCGACCCCUAAGGCGAGGCCGAAAGGCGUAGUCGAUGGGAAACAGGUUAAUAUUCCUGUACUUGGUGUUACUGCGAAGGGGGGACGGAGAAGGCUAUGUUGGCCGGGCGACGGUUGUCCCGGUUUAAGCGUGUAGGCUGGUUUUCCAGGCAAAUCCGGAAAAUCAAGGCUGAGGCGUGAUGACGAGGCACUACGGUGCUGAAGCAACAAAUGCCCUGCUUCCAGGAAAAGCCUCUAAGCAUCAGGUAACAUCAAAUCGUACCCCAAACCGACACAGGUGGUCAGGUAGAGAAUACCAAGGCGCUUGAGAGAACUCGGGUGAAGGAACUAGGCAAAAUGGUGCCGUAACUUCGGGAGAAGGCACGCUGAUAUGUAGGUGAAGUCCCUUGCGGAUGGAGCUGAAAUCAGUCGAAGAUACCAGCUGGCUGCAACUGUUUAUUAAAAACACAGCACUGUGCAAACACGAAAGUGGACGUAUACGGUGUGACGCCUGCCCGGUGCCGGAAGGUUAAUUGAUGGGGUCAGCGCAAGCGAAGCUCUUGAUCGAAGCCCCGGUAAACGGCGGCCGUAACUAUAACGGUCCUAAGGUAGCGAAAUUCCUUGUCGGGUAAGUUCCGACCUGCACGAAUGGCGUAAUGAUGGCCAGGCUGUCUCCACCCGAGACUCAGUGAAAUUGAACUCGCUGUGAAGAUGCAGUGUACCCGCGGCAAGACGGAAAGACCCCGUGAACCUUUACUAUAGCUUGACACUGAACAUUGAGCCUUGAUGUGUAGGAUAGGUGGGAGGCUUAGAAGUGUGGACGCCAGUCUGCAUGGAGCCGACCUUGAAAUACCACCCUUUAAUGUUUGAUGUUCUAACGUUGACCCGUAAUCCGGGUUGCGGACAGUGUCUGGUGGGUAGUUUGACUGGGGCGGUCUCCUCCUAAAGAGUAACGGAGGAGCACGAAGGUUGGCUAAUCCUGGUCGGACAUCAGGAGGUUAGUGCAAUGGCAUAAGCCAGCUUGACUGCGAGCGUGACGGCGCGAGCAGGUGCGAAAGCAGGUCAUAGUGAUCCGGUGGUUCUGAAUGGAAGGGCCAUCGCUCAACGGAUAAAAGGUACUCCGGGGAUAACAGGCUGAUACCGCCCAAGAGUUCAUAUCGACGGCGGUGUUUGGCACCUCGAUGUCGGCUCAUCACAUCCUGGGGCUGAAGUAGGUCCCAAGGGUAUGGCUGUUCGCCAUUUAAAGUGGUACGCGAGCUGGGUUUAGAACGUCGUGAGACAGUUCGGUCCCUAUCUGCCGUGGGCGCUGGAGAACUGAGGGGGGCUGCUCCUAGUACGAGAGGACCGGAGUGGACGCAUCACUGGUGUUCGGGUUGUCAUGCCAAUGGCACUGCCCGGUAGCUAAAUGCGGAAGAGAUAAGUGCUGAAAGCAUCUAAGCACGAAACUUGCCCCGAGAUGAGUUCUCCCUGACUCCUUGAGAGUCCUGAAGGAACGUUGAAGACGACGACGUUGAUAGGCCGGGUGUGUAAGCGCAGCGAUGCGUUGAGCUAACCGGUACUAAUGAACCGUGAGGCUUAACCUU
rnacentral:rRNA from 1 species